AUUGAACGCUGGCGGAAUGCUUUACACAUGCAAGUCGAACGGCAGCACGGGGCAACCUGGUGGCGAGUGGCGAACGGGUGAGUAAUACAUCGGAACGUGCCCAAUCGUGGGGGAUAACGUAGCGAAAGUUACGCUAAUACCGCAUACGAUCUACGGAUGAAAGCGUGGGAUCGCAAGACCUCGCGCGAAUGGAGCGGCCGAUGUCAGAUUAGGUAGUUGGUGGGGUAAAGGCUCACCAAGCCAACGAUCUGUAGCUGGUCUGAGAGGACGCCCAGCCACACGGGGACUGAGACAAGGCCCAGACUCCUACGGGAGGCAGCAGUGGGGAAUUUUGGACAAUGGGGGCAAGCCGGAUCCAGCCAUUCCGCGUGCAGGAUGAAGGCCUUCGGGUUGUAAACUGCUUUUGUACGGAACGAAACGGCUCUCUCUAAUACAGGGGGCUAAUGACGGUACCGUAAGAAUAAGCACCGGCUAACUACGUGCCAGCCGCCGCAGUAAAAC
rnacentral:rRNA from 1 species